rnacentral:rRNA from 1 species
AGAGUUGAUUAUGGCUCAGGAUGAACGCUAGCGGCAGGCUUAACACAUGCAAGUCGAGGGGCAGCGGGAUGUAGCAAUACAUUGCCGGCGACCGGCGGAUGGGUGCGUAACGCGUAUGCAACCUACCUUAUACAGGGGAAUAACCUUUCGAAAGGGAGACUAACACCCCAUAGUAUUGAUUUAAGGCAUCUUAGAUUAAUUAAAUAUUUAUAGGUAUAAGAUGGGCAUGCGUAUGAUUAGCUAGUUGGUAAGGUAACGGCUUACCAAGGCGACGAUCAUUAGGGGUUCUGAGAGGAAGGUCCCCCACACUGGUACUGAGACACGGACCAGACUCCUACGGGAGGCAGCAGUGAGGAAUAUUGGUCAAUGGGCGCAAGCCUGAACCAGCCAUGCCGCGUGCAGGAAAGACGGCCUUAUGGGUUGUAAACUGCUUUUACAUAAGACUAACCGUAUAUUUGCGAAUAUACCUGAAUGUAUUAUGAGAAUAAGGAUCGGCUAACUCCGUGCCAGCCGCUGC